rnacentral:snRNA from 1 species
AGCUUUGUACAGUGGCAGUAUCGCAACCAGUGAGGUUUAUCUGAGGAGAGAUUAUUGCUAAUUGAAAACUUUUCCUAAGAGACAGCUGUGCUCAGCUCAAUUUCUCCACUUUUU